GAGCACGAAGCUUCUUCACGGCCUUGGAAUCAUGUACGGUCUUGGACUCUUCAUUAGCAUCUUGGAGACGCUUAUGAAUCUCGUCGACAGCUUUCAUGUCUUCUUUAACACUCUCGACAUAUCCAAAGAACUCAUCGAGGUUGCCUGAAUCAAGAGAAACAUUUUGAGACUCGAUGUCAUCGAGUUGGACCUGGUGGUUUAAGUCUGUGUAUCUCUUGAAUGAGCUUGAGAUAAGAUCGUUCAUGGCGACGAUCAAGAACUUAGAGAAAAAUGAUUUCUAAUUUCUUGAAAAUGG